rnacentral:rRNA from 1 species
GACGAACGCUGGCGGCGUGCUUAACACAUGUAAGUCGAACGAAGUGGCGAACGGGUGAGUAACGCGUAAUCAACCUGCCCUUCAGAGGGGGACAACAGGUGGAAACGACUGCUAAUACCGCAUACUGAAGGAGGGGAUGGCGUCGGAUUAGCUAGUUGGAGGGGUAACGGCCCACAAAGGCGAUGAUCAGCAGCGGGUCUGAGAGGAUGACCGGCCGCAUUGGGACUGAGACACGGCCCAGACUCCUACGGGAUGCAGCAGUUGGGAAACUUCCGCAAUGGACGAAAGUCUGACGGAGCAACUCCGCGUGAGUGAUGACGGCCUUCGGGUUGUAAAGCUCUGUUAAUCGGGACGCGGUACCGGAAUAGAAAGCCACGGCUAACUACGUGCCAGCAGCCGCGGUAAUUC